CCUGCUCAGACAUCCCACCUAAGAUUCGGUACUUUCCAUCACAUAAUAAACAUGUAGCAGUUCUCUGUCUUCGUCAACUUCAAACUCUCAAAUUAAUCAUUUCUUUUCAACUUAAAACUCCCACCCACGAUACUUAUUACUCCUUCCUUCUUUGAAAAAUCAAAAUUAGGGUUUCAAUUUUUCAUUUUCAUCUUCAUUUCUACUUCUCUUCUUAAAAAAUCUCUAUGGCAUCACAUCCGAUUCAUUCAUGGACAUUUUCUUCACUAGUAGGAGCUUUUCUAGAUCUUUCAUUAGCUUAUCUCCUCUUAUGUGGAUCAACUCUAGUUUUCAUCACUUGUAAAUUCUUAUCAAUAUUUGGUUUAUAUUUACCAUGUCCUUGUAAUGGAUUUUUCUUUAAUGAUCGAACUAAAUGUGUUAAUAGAUUCUUAACGGAUGCUCCUUCUGGUAAGAUCUCUUCUGUUCAUAUGUCUGUUAUUAGUAAAUUUCCGUUUGAUUCGAUUUUGAUGAAAGAUCAACAAGGUAGACAGUUGAAUUUGAAAUUAGUUAGAGAUCAUAAUAGAGAUCGGUUUGAUGGUAGUGGGUUUGUGGAAUUGGAUAGCGGUGGUGGAGGAGGAGAAUAUGGUGAUGGUUCUUGUAGUUCUGUUUCUGAUGCUAGGGCACCAAUUAGAAGUGAAGUUGUUGGAUUACUUAAUUCUAGUGAAAAUGGAUUGGUUAAGGGUAAGACUGUUUUGAAUCAGAAAACUAGGGUUAUUCGAAGACGGAAAAGAGCUUCUGCUGUUGAACAUAGCCAAUUCUCAUCUGUUUCUGAUAAUCUUCAACAGUCGAGUAAGCGAGAUGUUUCGCCUUCGAAUUAUGGUGGUGAUCAAACAAGGAGGAGAGUGUUUUCUGAUGAUGAUGAUAUAGAAGAGGAGAAUCAGGUGGCUGUGAAUCCAGCAAUAAAUGCAAGCCAAGAGGUAAAGGAAGUACCAGCCGACAUCAACUCAAAUCAAGGAGUCCAGAGUGGUUUUCAGAUGACGGAGUCGCUGGAUGAAGAUAAGAAUACAGAGAAGGGUGCAUCUUCUGCUGGGGAAUCUGUGUAUGAUGUUAAGCGAGAGCUAGGAUUAGAUGGAAACGAUGCACAUUCAGUUAGAAUCUUGGAAAAUGCACUUGAAGAAGAGCAUGCUGCUCGAAUUGCUCUUUACAGGGAGUUGGAGGAGGAGAGAAGUGCUGCUGCAUCAGCAGCCGAUGAGGCUAUGGCAAUGAUAUUGCGUCUGCAGGAGGAGAAAGCAUCUAUAGAAAUGGAAGCACGGCAAUAUCAGAGAAUGAUAGAAGAAAAACAUGCUUACGAUGCUGAAGAGAUGACCAUUCUUAAGGAGAUCCUUGUGAGAAGAGAAAGGGAGAAACACUUUUUGGAGAAGGAAGUUGAAGCUUAUAGGAAGAACAUGGGUCUUAGGAAUGAGCACUCAGAAGGUGACCUUCUUUCAAUGGAGGACAUGAUUGGGGAAGGCCAUGCUUCCUUCAAUUCGAGCGAAGACCCGAUGCUUAUGCUGCUAAAGCUUAGUGAGUCCAUGAGCAACAAGGAGACAGUAGACAAUGUGGACAAAUCAGUUGAGUUUGAUGUUAAGAAACAGGAUCCUGUGUUCGCUGUUGGGGAGAGAUUACCUUCAUCAGACAGUCUUGAAGAUGGUGAUUCUCUAAGACGAGUGAAUAUUCAGAGAGCCUUAGACGCUGAAAAACAGCAUCGAGUUGUAUCUGAGUGCAUGGAUGAACUUGAGCAGAAGUUGCUGGAGAAAAGGAUAGUAUCAUCUGACAAACAACCAUCUGCUCCGCAACAUCCGGGGUUGGCACUAGAGGCAGGCUGUAGGUCUGAAAAAUCGUUCGAGGAGGUACAUGGACCUGAUUUGCAUGAAAAAACAAUUAUUUUACUGGAUGAAGAUGAAAAGCGUAAGGAUAACUGUAGCCUAUUCCAAGGGGUUGCUUCCGAGACAGGCCAAAUGCGUAGUGAUACUGAAAUUAGUUUUCCAUUUGAUGUUACGGAUCUGAAGAAGCAAGGGAAAGAUACUGAUCACGGGGUCAGGGAUCUAUCUUUUGAAAGUGUUUACGAUGUCCAUGUCAUUGAUGAUGAUUCGAAGACUAAUAACCAGGAAUUUAGUACAUCAUCUUUUCCGCUUCAUACUUCUGGUUUCAGGAGUCAUGAUCGCCCUAGUGCAAGCAGUGCUGAAGCCCAUCCUGACAUCCACAGAAGCUAUUCUGACAUCACAAAUGUGUUGCUACCAGUAGAUAAAUCAGUGGGCAAAGACAUACAUUUUGACUUACUAAAGAGGAGUUCCACAUCUGGGGUUGAUAGUGAAAGGAUGAAACUUGAAACUGAGGUUGAGCGACUCAGAGAAAGGCUAAGGGUUGUUCAAGAAGGAAGAGAGAAGCUUCAUAUUUCUGUUGAACCCCGAGAAAGAGAACAAAUCCAAUUGCAACUAUUGGAGGACAUAGCCAGUCAGCUUCGGGAGAUCCGGCAGUUAAACGAACCUGGAAAGGCUGCACGGCAAGCUUCUUUACCUCCUCCAUCUGCUAAGUUUGAAUAGGACUGGAAACCUUGAUUGAUUCGCUUUGGAAACAUGUAACUGUCAGGAAAUUGUUGCAUAUAUGGGAGAUGCGUUGAUAACUUGAUAUCCAAUCGGUUGGCUCGAAGAAGAGACGCUGUCGAAGUGGUGCACAUUGGGGUAUCCAUGGGAGUAGCUGAGCCAGGUACCAGUUUGUUUGCUGAAAACGACAUAUUCCUGAAUACUUGUGAGCAACUCUACCGUAUUUUACAUUUGAAUGAGUAACACCAACUUUGGUAGAGCUUCAUGCGGAAAUGCUACUUCUAAAUGAAUCAAAGCUGAGAACAUGAUGUUGUCUAGAAUCUGUGUGAAGCUAAAUCAAGAAGUGGUCAAGAGGAGAUAACAGGUACUCUUAAAUGUAAUAUGUAUACACACUGGUAGGACACUGUUUGUCUUAGUGUUAUGCUCACAUACCACGAAAUUUGCCGCAAGAACCAUGUUGUAUUAACAAAUUUUGCGGGUUGCUAUCUAGCCCUACAAGUCUCAGAUACAUUUCGGUAGACUAAUUGUGGUAUCACAUAAAUACCCGAAAUAUGAUCCACAGAAUAUGAAUAUGGGAGGAUGACUAGUCAGGGUCACAGUUAGUUCUUUGAUAACUGCAAGUACUGAUAUUUUUCUUGACUAAUUGUCAUUGUAUC